CCUACGGGAGACAGCAGUGGGGAAUAUUGCACAAUGGGGGCAACCCUGAUGCAGCGACGCCGCGUGAGUGAAGAAGUAUUUCGGUAUGUAAAGCUCUAUCAGCAGGGAAGCAAAUGACGGUACCUGAUUAAGAAGCCCCGGCGAACUACGUGCCAGCAGCCGCGGUAAUACGUAGGGGGCAAGCGUUAUCCGGAUUUACUGGGUGUAAAGGGGGCUUUGACGGCAGCGCAAGUCUGAAGUGAAAUGCCGGGGCUUAACCCCGGAACUGCUUUGGAAACUGUGCAGCUCGAGUGCAGGAGAGGUAAGCGGAAUUCCUAGUGUAGCGGUGAAAUGCGUAGAUAUUAGGAGGAACACCAGUGGCGAAGGCGGCUUACUGGACUGUAACUGACGUUGAGGCUCGAAAGCGUGGGGAGCAAACAGGAUUAGAUACCCCAGUAGUC
rnacentral:rRNA from 1 species